rnacentral:rRNA from 1 species
AUUGAACGCUGGCGGCAGGCCUAACACCUGCAAGUCGAACGAGUGGCGGACGGGUGAGUAAUGUCUGGGAAACUGCCUGAUGGAGGCGGAUGACUGCUGGAAACGGUAGCUAAUACUGCAUACCAUCAGAUGUGCCCAGGUGGGAUUAGCUAGUGGGUGGGGUAACGGCUCACAAAGGGGACGAGCCCUAGCUGGUCUGAGAGGAUGACCAGCCACACUGGGACUGAGACACGGGCCAGACUCCUACGGGAGGCAGCAGUAGGGAAUAUUGCACAAUGGACGAAAUCCUGAUCCAGCAAUGACGCGUGUGUGAAGAAGGCCUUCGGGUUGUAAAAUACUUUCGUCAGGGAAGCGUUACCCGCACAAGAAGCACCGGCUAACUCCGUGCCAGCAGCCGCGGUAAUUC